GACGGAGGGGGCUAGCGUUGUUCGGAAUUACUGGGCGUAAAGAGCUCGUAGGUGGUUUGUCGCGUUGUUCGUGAAAACCGGGGGCUUAACCCUCGGCGUGCGGGCGAUACGGGCAGACUUGAGUACUGCAGGGGAGACUGGAAUUCCUGGUGUAGCGGUGGAAUGCGCAGAUAUCAGGAGGAACACCGGUGGCGAAGGCGGGUCUCUGGGCAGUAACUGACGCUGAGGAGCGAAAGCGUGGGGAGCGAACAGG
rnacentral:rRNA from 1 species